rnacentral:rRNA from 1 species
GACGAACGCUGGCGGCGCGCCUAACACAUGCAAGUCGAACGAGCGAGAGAGAGCUUGCUUUCUCGAGCGAGUGGCGAACGGGUGAGUAGCGCGUGAGGAACCUGCCUCAAAGAGGGGGACAACAGUUGGAAACGACUGCUAAUACCGCAUAAGCCCACGGCUCGGCAUCGAGCAGGGGGAAAAGGAGCAAUCCGCUUUGAGAUGGCCUCGCGUCCGAUUAGCUAGUUGGUGAGGUAACGGCCCACCAAGGCGACGAUCGGUAGCCGGACUGAGAGGUUGAACGGCCACAUUGGGACUGAGACACGGCCCAGACUCCUACGGGAGGCAGCAGUGGGGAAUAUUGCACAAUGGGGGAAACCCUGAUGCAGCGACGCCGCGUGGAGGAAGAAGGUCUUCGGAUUGUAAACUCCUGUUGUUGGGGAAGAUAAUGACGGUACCCAACAAGGAAGUGACGGCUAACUACGUG